rnacentral:piRNA from 1 species
UCUGUAGAUACAUUGAUCGCAUUCAUAUU